CGCACGGGUGAGUAACACGUAUCCAACCUGCCGUCUACUCUUGGCCAGCCUUCUGAAAGGAAGAUUAAUCCAGGAUGGCAUCAUGAGUUCACAUGUCCGCAUGAUUAAAGGUAUUUUCCGGUAGACGAUGGGGAUGCGUUCCAUUAGAUAGUAGGCGGGGUAACGGCCACCUAGUCAACGAUGGAUAGGGGUUCUGAGAGGAAGGUCCCCCACAUUGGAACUGAGACACGGUCCAA
rnacentral:rRNA from 1 species